rnacentral:rRNA from 1 species
AUGCUUGUCUCAAAGAUUAAGCCAUGCAUGUCUAAGUAUAAAUGACUUUAUACAGUGAAACUGCGAAUGGCUCAUUACAUCAGUUAUAGUUUAUUUGAUAAUACCUAAUUACUCGGAUAACCGUAGUAAUUCUAGAGCUAAUACGUGCUAAAACCUCCGACUUUUUGAAGGGGGGCACUUAUUGGAUACAAAACCAACUUUCGGGGGGCAACUCACGAAAAAAACAAAUGGUGGACUCACAAUAAUUUUGCGAAUCGCAUGACCUUGCGUCGGCGAUGAUUCAUUCAAAUUUCUGCCCUAUCAACUUUCGUCGGUAAGAUAGAGGCUUACCGAGGUUUCAACGGGUAACGGGUAAUA